CGGAACAGGUGGUCGUUGCUAUGGCAACCAUGGGACCGCAGGAGAAUACCCCGCACAUUGUCUCCUCGGUGGCGGGCUGUGACAUAGAGAUGCCGCACACAACUACAGAGAGCUCACCUACAUAAAAAGUAGGCGGACAGAUAUUUUGUUAUUAGUUUCUUGCAGCACUGAACAGAGGCGAGCCUGCACUACACUGUCCUGAGCCGUCUACAGUUGACUCCAGUUGAUGUUCAGGUUUUUUUUUUUUUUUUUUUACAGUUUGUGUUUAAUGAGAAAUGAUUCAUAAUUGAUCAGGAUGUAUGGAGGAGGUGUUAGCAGCUGGACAUAGGUGUCAUGUUUUUAAUCAGUACGUCAGACGUCUGGCAGUUUGGACUUGGAUCAAUACAGACAACGUAUUCAUAAUGUGAUGACAGCUGCACACUGUUAUAUAAACUAUGAACAGCAUCUUUAUGUCUCUGUUUGUUGGAGAAAUCAUCAUUUUUAUGUUGAAGUAAAAUAAACAUUGUGUCGACCAGAAUAA